UCCCCAGUGGUCCCGUGGCUAAGGUUCUGCGCUCCCAAUGCAGGGGACCCAGGUUCAAUCCCUGGUUGGGGAA
rnacentral:tRNA from 1 species